AUGGCGGCCGCGGAGGCAGGCGAGACUAAGAUGAUCAUUCUCAAGAGCUCAGAUGAGGAGGAGUUUGAGGUGGAGGAGGUUGUCGCCAUGGAGUCGCAGACCAUCCGCCACAUGAUCGAUGACGGCUGUGCCAACAACAAGAUCCUGCUCCCCAUCACCAACUCCAAGAUCCUCUUCAAGGUCAUCGAGUACUGCAAGAAGCACAUCCAGGCUAAGCCCACCACAGACACCACCACCAGAGCUUCCGAAGCAUAUGAUGUUGUGGCACCUGCCGGCCCCGUCGAGGACCUCAAGAACUGGGAUGCCGAAUUUGUCAGGGUCAACGAGUCCACCCUUUUUGACCUCGCUAUGGCUGCAAGGUAUCUCAACAUCAAGGGACUGCUAGACCUGACCACCGAGACUCUUGCCGACAUGAUAAAGGGCAAGAAUUCGGAGGAGCUUCUAGGCUGA
rnacentral:rRNA from 1 species